UCAUCCAGAAACACCUUCACAGAUGCACCUAGAAGUCAUGUUUAAUUGGGACACCCUGUGUCCCAAUCAAGUUGACACACAAAAGUAACCAUCCUAGCUGCCACUUUUAUUUGACACGAGGCCCUGCAACUUAAUGUAGCCAUUUCUGGAAGAUGGUGAUUGGAGCAAAAGAACUUAAGAAUUCACCAUCUCUGGAGGUUAGAGCAACAUACUUGCCGUUGAGUUAACCUGCGGCAGAAUUCUCUUGGGCCAGUGAUUUUAUUGCUGUUGCAUUUCUCAUCAGCAACUCAACAGGUUUCUUGGCUGGCUGUCUCUUACCUUACCCUGUUUGUGCCAAGGGAAGAAAGACCACUUUUAAUGAUUUCUUGAAUUAAGCAGUUAGAGACUUAAGCCUGCUCGGGCAGAGGGGGUUUCAAAGUGAAUUUUGGAUUAUCUCCAGUUAAGGAUGGUGUUUGAUCCUCACAACUUGAAGGUAAUUAAUUUCAGGGGAUGUAUGUUGCUCCUUUCCCCCCUGCAGAGGCAGAUUGAGAAAUGCUGCUUUUCAAAGACGGGUGCUUCUUAAAGAAAUUGAGCUCCCAUCCCCUUUAGGUUUGAGGUCCCUGAGUCUUUUGAGCAGUUGGAAUUUUUAGGCCACAGGUCCCUUGUGGAAGCUUCCCAAUGGCCCUGUAUCCUCCUGAUCCUUAUGAGGAGGCAUUUCAUCCAUUGACCCUGCAGGUAGCUGAUUGAGUCUGAAAUAGCAGCCUCCCAGCCCAGCAGGGACCAGAGUAAAGGAACAUUUGCUGUAAUUUCUUUCCUCCUCCCCCUCUGAAAGAUUGUUAAUCAGGAACCUUUUGGAAACAAAAAAGGAAAGCAAGAAAAGGGAGACCUAGUUUGGUGAACCCAAUAGAAAACUACCACAUGGUCGAAGCUUCCCAAAACCCCUGGCGGCAAGGGGAUGUCAGUUGGUGAGUGGGCUGGGGCUGCAGAUGUCUCAAAAGCUCAGACACACUGAUGACAAGAGAUGCUUUUAGCACUUUUGGAGAGACCAAAGGACAUUUGAUGAUCAUCAUUAUGACCGUAAAUAAUUACGCAUUUGUAAUCAGAGCUGUGACCAUUUAUUGAGCAUCUACCAUGGGUCAGGUUCUGGGCCAAGUCAGGUGCAUCUCUUAAUUCUCUCAACAGCCCCUCGGCCUGGCUCAUUUUAUAGACAGGAGUCUGAGGCUCUCAAAUUUAACGUGAUCAAGAGCACACAGCCGAAAAAUGACAGGGUCAGGUGUAAGCUCUGCUGCCAGACCUUGUGCUGCACCCUCAAGCUGCCUUCUGUCCUUGCUGUCCCUGUCAAAAGCUACUCCAGUCCUGGCACAGUGACUCAUGCCUUUAAUCCCAGCACUUUGGGAAGCCGAGGUGGGCAGAUCAUCUGAGGCCCGGAUUUCAAGACCAACCUGGCCAACAUGGCGAAACCC
rnacentral:lncRNA from 1 species